AUAAGAUAUCAAGGGCAACAGGUGAAUGCCUUGGCGCUGAGAGGCGAUGAAAGACGCGGUAAGCUGCGAUAAGCAUCGGGGAGGAGCUAAACAUCCUACGAUCCGAUGAUUUCUGAAUGGGGAAACCCGAUGGGAGUCAUGUCCCAUCAUCCUGAGCUGAAUAUAUAGGCCCAGAGAAGCCAACCCGGGGAAGUGAAACAUCUCAGUACCCGGAGGAAGAGAAAUCAAACGAGACUCCCAAAGUAGCGGCGAGCGAAAUGGGAAGAGCCCAAACCGGGUGGUUUCGACCAUUCGGGGUUGUAGGGCCGGCAUACGCGAUUCUGGAGUAGGCAGAGGAAGUGAGCUGGAAAGCUCCGCCACAGCGGGUGAUAGCCCCGUACUCGAAACCGAAAAGGACGCAGCCGGUACCUGAGUACUGCGAGGCACGUGGAACCUCGUGGGAAUCUAGGGGGACCAUCCUCUAAGGCUAAGUACUCCUCAGCGACCGAUAGUGAACUAGUACCGUGAGGGAAAGGUGAAAAGAACCCCUGUUAGGGGAGUGAAAUAGAAUCUGAAACCUGUUGCCUACAAGCUGCGAGAGCUGCUUUUUGCAGUGAUCGCGUGCCUUUUGUAUAAUGAGUCAGCGAGUUACUCUACCGUGCGAGGUUAAGCGAAAGCGUAGCCGUAGUGAAAGCGAGGCUUAAUAGGCCGACUAGUACGUUGGAGUAGACCCGAAACCGGGUGAUCUAUCCAUGAGCAGGUUGAAGCAAGGGUAAAGCCUUGUGGAGGACCGAACCGUCAACGGCUGAAAACGUUCCGGAUGACUUGUGGAUAGGGGUGAAAGGUCAAUCAAACCCGGUGAUAGCUGGUUCUCCCCGAAAUAUAUUGAGGUAUAGCCUCGGGAAUUGAUUAGCGGAGGUAAAGCACUGACAGAGCUAGGGGUCCUACCAGAUUACCAAACUCUAUCAAACUCAGAAUGCCGCUUAAUCGUAUCCCGGGAGUCAGACGGCGGGUGCGAAGGUUCGUCGUCAAAAGGGAAACAGCCCAGACCAACAGCUAAGGUCUCCAAAUCCAUGCUCAGUGGUGAAGGUAGUGGAACCGUUUAGACAGCCAGGACGUUGGCUUAGAAGCAGCCAUCGUUUAAAGAAAGCGUAAUAGCUCACUGGUCUAAUGGCUCUGCGCCGAAAAUGUAACGGGGCUAAGCAUGGUACCGAAGCUUUGGCAAUCCCCUUUGGGGAUUGGGUAGGGGAGCGUUCGCUGCGGGCUGAAGGUGUGCCGGAAGGCAUGCUGGACUGCAGUGAAGUGAUUAUGCUGACAUGAGUAACGAUAAAAUAUGUGAAAAACAUAUUCGCCGAAAACCCGAGGUUUCCUGGGUAAAGGUAAUCUUCCCAGGGUUAGUCGGAUCCUAAGGUGAGGGUGAAAGCCGUAACCGAUGGAAAACAGGUUAAUAUUCCUGUACUUGUUGUGUAGCGCGAUGGAGGGACGCAGGAAGAUAGGCGGGCCGGGUGUUGGAUAUCCCGGUGCAAGCGUGUAGGAAUAUCCGGUAGGCAAAUCCGCCGGACGAAUCUGAGACGCGAGUCCGUGGGCGCAAGCCCUGAAGCCGUUGAGUCUAUGCUGCCUAGAAAAGCUCCUAAGUUUAUCCACAGCAAUCCGUACCGCAAACCAACUCAGGUGGGUGGGAUGAACAAUCCAAGGCGCUCGAGAGAACUCUGGCCAAGGAACUCGGCAAAAUAACCCCGUAACUUCGGAAGAAGGGGUGCUCUCUAGGGUGACAUGUUUAACAUAUGAAGCCCCGGGGAGCCGCAGUGAAUUGGUGGUGGCGACUGUUUACUAAAAACAUAGGUCUGUGCGAAGUCCUAAAGACGACGUAUACGGACUGACGCCUGCCCGGUGCUGGAAGGUUAAAAGGAGGGGUCAGCGCAAGCAAAGCUCCGAAUUGAAGCCCCAGUAAACGGCGGCCGUAACUAUAACGGUCCUAAGGUAGCGAAAUUCCUUGUCGGGUA
rnacentral:rRNA from 1 species